rnacentral:rRNA from 1 species
AUUGAACGCUGGCGGCAGGCCUAACACAUGCAAGUCGAGCGGAUGAAGGGAGCUUGCUCCUGGAUUCAGCGGCGGACGGGUGAGUAAUGCCUAGGAAUCUGCCUGGUAGUGGGGGAUAACGUCCGGAAACGGGCGCUAAUACCGCAUACGUCCUGAGGGAGAAAGUGGGGGAUCUUCGGACCUCACGCUAUCAGAUGAGCCUAGGUCGGAUUAGCUAGUUGGUGGGGUAAAGGCCUACCAAGGCGACGAUCCGUAACUGGUCUGAGAGGAUGAUCAGUCACACUGGAACUGAGACACGGUCAAGACUCCUACGGGAGGCAGCAGUGGGGAAUAUUGGACAAUGGGCGAAAGCAUGAUACAGCCAUGCCGCGUGUGUGAAGAAGGUCUUCGGAUUGUAAAGCACUUUAAGUUGGGAGGAAGGGCAGUAAGUUAAUACCUUGCUGUUUUGACGUUACCAACAGAAUAAGCACCGGCUAACUUCGUG